rnacentral:lncRNA from 1 species
GACUCUUAAAAAGAUAUUACUUUUCAUAAAAUAUUAUGUGUUUAUAUAACAUAAUUAUUGUCAUGAUUUUUUUCAACGACUAUUAGAAGUAUAUGUUGUAAUGGCCAAUUUUUGGCCUAAGCAAAAACUAAAAUUCAAGUCCAUUUUACAAUAGCCCAAAAAUCAAAACAGGCCCAAUUUCCACAUUGAAAGGCCCAAACCUAAAACUAAAAGACCCAAAUAAUACAAAAACCCUAAAAGCCCACCUAGCCCAACACACAAAAUAUCUCAGCAACCCUAAGUCCCCCCCUCUUUUGUUCUGCGCCGCAACCAUGAAGCAACCCCAUACCCCCACUACAACAGCCCCAUACCCCCACUACAACAGUCCCAUACCUCCACAGUCCUCGUACGCCACACCCCGUGCGCAUGCCAACAUGCCCUGUACCUGCAAGAAGAAAAUAAAACAACAGCAGCAACAGAGCAGUAGCCAAUAGAAGAAACAAUAUUUUGUACUAUUCUUUGGAACAUUCGGCUAUAAAAAGGCCAUUCAAACUGAUGUAAAGGGGAUUUUUUUGAAAUUUUUUUUUCCCAAAAGAAAAUCAAAAACAAAAACGUGGUUAAUCCUCAAAGCAGCAAGCAUACAAAAUCAAUCUCAAACGCAAAACCAAAACAUUGCACCAAAUCAGAAGAUACGAGGUGCUAAAAAUCGAAAGUUAAAACUGAGGUGAUUAUUGAUUUUCUCCGUUCUGUUUCUUUUUGAUUUUAUGCGCAAAAAUCCAAUUUUUUUACUUAGAUAUAC